AAAUUGAAGAGUUUGAUCAUGGCUCAGAUUGAACGCUGGCGGCAGGCCUAACACAUGCAAGUCGAGCGGAAACGAGUUAUCUGAACCUUCGGGGAACGAUAACGGCGUCGAGCGGCGGACGGGUGAGUAAUGCCUAGGAAAUUGCCCUGAUGUGGGGGAUAACCAUUGGAAACGAUGGCUAAUACCGCAUGAUGCCUACGGGCCAAAGAGGGGGACCUUCGGGCCUCUCGCGUCAGGAUAUGCCUAGGUGGGAUUAGCUAGUUGGUGAGGUAAGGGCUCACCAAGGCGACGAUCCCUAGCUGGUCUGAGAGGAUGAUCAGCCACACUGGAACUGAGACACGGUCCAGACUCCUACGGGAGGCAGCAGUGGGGAAUAUUGCACAAUGGGCGCAAGCCUGAUGCAGCCAUGCCGCGUGUGUGAAGAAGGCCUUCGGGUUGUAAAGCACUUUCAGUCGUGAGGAAGGUAGUGUAGUUAAUAGCUGCAUUAUUUGACGUUAGCGACAGAAGAAGCACCGGCUAACUCCGUGCCAGCAGCCGCGGUAAUACGGAGGGUGCGAGCGUUAAUCGGAAUUACUGGGCGUAAAGCGCAUGCAGGUGGUUUGUUAAGUCAGAUGUGAAAGCCCGGGGCUCAACCUCGGAAUUGCAUUUGAAACUGGCAGACUAGAGUACUGUAGAGGGGGG
rnacentral:rRNA from 1 species